AGUUCGGAUUGCAGGCUGCAACCCGCCUGCAUGAAGUUGGAAUCGCUAGUAAUCGCGGAUCAGCAUGCCGCGGUGAAUACGUUCCCGGGCCUUGUACACACCGCCCGUCACACCAUGAGAGUCGGGAACACCCGAAGUCCGUAGCCUAACCGCAAGGGGGGCGCGGCCGAAGGUGGGUUCGAUAAUUGGGGUGAAGUCGUAACAAGGUAAC
rnacentral:rRNA from 1 species